CCUACGGGAGGUAGCAGUGGGGAAUAUUGGGCAAUGGGCGCAAGCCUGACGCAGCCACGCCGCGUGAAGGAAGAAGGCUUUCGGGUUGUAAACUUCUUUUCUCAGGGACGAAGGCAGUUACGGUACCUGAGGAAUAAGCCACCGCUAACUACGUGCCAACAGCUGCGUUAAUACGUAGGUGGCAAGCGUUAACCGGAGUUAUUGGGUGCAAAGGGCGUGCAGGCGGGGGCGCAAGUCAGCUGUGAAAACCCAGGGCUCAACCCUGAGCCUGCAUUUGAUACUGGGUUUCUUGAGUGCUGGAGGGACAAGCGGAAUUCCGUGUGUAGCGGUGAAAUGCGUAGAGAUACGGAGGAACACCAGUGGCGAAGGCGGAUUGCUGGACAUGUACUGACGCUGAGGUGCGAAAGCGUGGGGAGCAAACAGGAUUAGAUACCCUAGUAGUC
rnacentral:rRNA from 1 species